rnacentral:piRNA from 1 species
UUGGCUGACACAAUUGUGACAACACCAGCCA